GAAUCUUUCGCAAUGGGGGAAACCCUGACGAUGCGACGCCGCGUGCAGGAUGACGGCUCUCGGGUCGUAAACUGCUGUUGAACGGGAAGAAAAUUUAGUGAUGAACAAUCAUUAAAUUUGACGGUACCGUUAGAGAAAGCCCCGGCUAACUACGUGCCAGACGCCGCGGUCAUACGUCGGGGGCGAGCGUUGUUCGGAUUUACUGGGCGUAAAGAGCGUGUAGGUGGUUAUGCAAGUCGAAUGUGAAAUCCCAUGGCUUAACCAAGGAAGUGCAUUCGAAACUGCAUGGCUAGAGUUCGGGAGAGGAGAGCGGAAUUCUCGGUGUAGUGGUGAAAUACGUGGAGAUCGAGAAGAACACCAGUGGUGAAAGCGGCUCUCUAGACCGAUACUGACACUGAGGCGCGAAAGCGUGGGGAGCAAACGGG
rnacentral:rRNA from 1 species